UACGUAGGGCGCAAGCGUUGUCCGGAAUUAUUGGGCGUAAAGAGCUCGUAGGCGGCUUGUCACGUCGACUGUGAAAACCCGGGGCUCAACUCCGGGCCUGCAGUCGAUACGGGCUGGCUUGAGUGCGGUAGGGGAGACUGGAAUUCCUGGUGUAGCGGUGAAAUGCGCAGAUAUCAGGAGGAACACCGGUGGCGAAGGCGGCUUCCUGGACCGACACUGACGCUGAGGCGCGAAAGCUAGGGGAGCAAACGGG
rnacentral:rRNA from 1 species